rfam:Acidobacteria bacterium 13_1_20CM_3_53_8 13_1_20cm_3_scaffold_24, whole genome shotgun sequence.
GGGGCAUUGGUGUAACUGGUUAACACGCCGCCCUCUCAAGGCGGAGAGUAGGAGUUCAAGUCUCCUAUGCCCUA